rnacentral:misc_RNA from 1 species
UACAGAGGGUGCAAACGUUGUUCGGAUUUACUGGGCGUAAAGCGCGCGCAGGCGGAUUUGCAAGUCAGAUGUGAAAUCUCGGGGCUCAACCCCGAAACUGCGUCUGAAACUGCUAGUCUAGAGUCUCAUAGGGGGCAGGGGAAUUUCACGUGUAGGGGUAAAAUCCGUAGAGAUGUGAAGGAACACCCGUGGCGAAGGCGCCUGCCUGGAUGAGCACUGACGCUGAGGUGCGAAAGCGUGGGUAGCAAACAGG